UGGGGGAUAUUGCACAAUGGGCGAAAGCCUGAUGCAGCGACGCCGCGUGGGGGAUGAAGGCCUUCGGGUUGUAAACUUCUUUUGCUCUGAACAAGGCAUGCUUUUGGGGUGUGUUGAGUGUAGGUGUUGAUUAGCGCCGGCUAACUACGUGCCAGCAGCCGCGGUAAUACGUAGGGCGCGAGCGUUGUCCGGAAUUAUUGGGCGUAAAGGGCUUGUAGGUGGCUGGUUGCGUCUGUCGUGAAAGCUCAUGGCUUAACUGUGGGUUUGCGGUGGGUACGCACUGGCUUGAGUGCAGUAGGGGAGGCUGGAAUUCCUGGUGUAGCGGUGGAAUGCGCAGAUAUCAGGCGGAAUACCGGUGGCGAAGGCGGGUCUCUGGGCUGUUACUGACGCUGAGGAGCGAAAGCGUGGGGCGCGAACAGG
rnacentral:rRNA from 1 species